UUGGGGAGCUCCUGAGAAAAGAGGACAUUUUGCCCAGAUCCGUGGCCUAUUCAGAAAUGUGGCCUGUGAUUAGGCCGCAGAUCUGGGUGAAAUGUCCUCCUUCUGUGACCAAAGAAGGUGA
rnacentral:precursor_RNA from 1 species